rnacentral:misc_RNA from 1 species
AAGUCCCUUUUCAUCUUGUGUUGCUUUUUGCRACGCAUGAUGAACCUCGAGGCGGUCUCUAUGUUCCACCACGUUGAUGCUAGCGUUUUGAUGUUGUGGCCCAUUGAGUGUUGCUUGGUUUCGUGGAUACAGAACAUGAUUUGGGCAUAGGGUUACUUGUGACUCUUGUUCUGUCCUUUAUCUGUGUUCUUUAUAACGACGGUUCAUGCGCGCCUAGGCUCGUACCUGCGCGAUGUUCUUUGUCGAAGAGGAAUGCUACCUGGUUGAUCCUGCCAGUAGUCAUAUGCUUGUCUCAAAGAUUAAGCCAUGCAUGKGUAAGU